rnacentral:rRNA from 1 species
CCUACGGGCGGCAGCAGUAGGGAAUAUUGCUCAAUGGGGGAAACCCUGAAGCAGCAACGCCGCGUGGAGGAUGAAGGUUUUCGGAUUGUAAACUCCUUUUGUUAGAGAAGAGAAUGACGGUACCUAACGAAUAAUCACCGGCCAACUCCGUUCCAGCAGCCGCGGCAACACGGAGGGCGCAAGCGUUACUCGGAAUCACCGGGCGUAAAGGGCGCGUAGGCGGGAUAGCAAGUCAGAAGUGAAAUCCUAUGGCUUAACCGUAGAACUGCAUUUGAAACUGUUAGUCUAGAGUAUGGGAGAGGUAGGUGGAAUUCUUGGUGUAGGGGUGAAAUCCGUAGAGAUCAAGAGGAAUACUGAUUGCGAAGGCGGCCUGCUAGAACGUAACUGACGCUGAUGCGCGAAAGCGUGGGGAGCAAACAGGAUUAGAUACCCUUGUAGUC